UCCCUCCGUCCCCCUGAGUAGUAUACAUUGGGGGACGGGGACGCGGCACGGACUUUAAUGCUCCUGCAAAGUGUAGUUGUGCAAUUUAUUUUUAAAAUUUUUCUUUUCUGAAUUAAAGUUUGGAUGUUAUAUUUUUAUACAGAAAAAGAAAAUCUCAAAAAUAAGUUACAGAACUAUACUUUAUAAAAGCAUUGAAAUGCGUGUCGAGCAGUUAAAAAGAAACGUAUAGAAUUAAAUGGGACAGAGGGAGUAAUACUUAUGCUUAUAAACUGAACAAAUAUUCCCACUCUUCUCAAUGUGGGACUGGAGUGUUACAUAUAUAAUAUCAUCAGUUCUCCGCUUAUUUUCUUUUUGGAGGCAUCAUCCAGGCAAAUGGUUUGUGGUGAUCCUUUUUAAUCCACUUUGAUAGAUGUUUUUUGCAUGUUUCUGCAUUACAUUUUCAAAACAUACAAAAACACCGCAUAAACUUAAAUAUAGAAAUGUUUAGAGCAUGCACGUGCCUCGCACGGGUUAUAAAGCUAGUAUCAUUAAGAAAAAAACUGAAUGUCUAGUUUUAAAUGUGUUGUUUACAUUCUGAUAAUAAUUCACACGCUGAAAGUGCAGCAUCUCCCCAUUUUAUCAAUUAUAUUAUCUGAUUCUGCAAUGGGGAUGCCUGGGACCUUGGUCGUCAUUUAUAUGCACUCUGUUGAUUCAUAUUUGACUUGUCACAUUUGUCCACUAAUCUUAUAUGGAGUUUCGUGGAGAACCCUCUCCAUUAAUCCCAGCUGUUAGAUCUAAAUAACAUCCUAUGGUUAAUAUUAAACCAUAAUAAAAAAAGUUAAAAUUUUAUUGAAAAAUAAUUAUUUGAUAGGUCGUAGAUACGUACAAUGAAUCUCUCUCUCCAAUCUCGCUGACUGAUCUCUCUCACUGAACCUCUCUCUCGCCGAUAUCUCUCACCAACCUCUCGCCGGACCUCUCCCUCCUGUUAAUCUUGUUAAUCUAUGUGGUGCGUUCGCUUUCUCAUCAUUCAAUUGUAAUUGCAAAUACAGGACGGCGUCUUCCUCCAAUCAAGCUCAGUGUUUGUCCAAUCAAGUUCAGCUCUGUGGUUCUUUCAGUCGUUGUCAGCAGCUGCACACCUCUCCAUGAAAGGCCUGUAUGAUUACUCAUGAAUAUAUAGAGGCUAUGAAAAAAGAAGCAUUCUAAGCACUCCUAACAAUUACCAGCUCAAAAUUGGUCUGCUCCCAGAGAUCUGAUGAUGCCAUAGCAGCUAUGAAGCUUUUAUAAGCUUCAAGUUCCAGAGAAGCUCCCACACAGACCUAUGUGCUUAACCUGGUGGAACUUGUUGGCCAAGCCACGCCACUCAUAAUCAAUCACGGAAUGGGUCAAAAGAUUUCCUCUGGACACACUCUUUCGCGACAUAGAAUUCAGUUGAGUGUCAUUAGGCUUGUUCCCUCUGAAGUGAGUGAAGAGAACUGGGACGCUGUUCUUGACAGAGAAAUCUUAAGGGAGACAAAGAUACUGAGCAGAAAACAGAGCAAUAUAGUUUAUAGAGAAGAGACUACUAGUGAUGGAGGAAACAGAGCAAUAUAGUUUAUAGAGAAGAGACUACUAGUGAUGGAGGAAACAGAGCAAUAUAGUUUAUAGAGAAGAGACUACUAGUGAUGGCGGAGAGACUGCUCUGAUAGUGAAUUCAAUGGUGGAUUCCUUUGAUUUGAUACUGGUUGGGAGACACUCAGACACCACAGGAGAGCAUUCACCGCUCUUAGCAGGUCUGUCGCAAUGGAAUGAUAUACCAGAGCUAGGGGGCAGUAGGUGACAUUUUGGCAUCUGCGGAAAUUAACAGACCAGCUUCAGUCUUGGUGGUGCAGCAACAGAUUGUCAGGUAAAUUUAUUGCAAGUGAUAUAUCAUGACAAAGAGAUGUUUGAAUGCAAAGAGAUAGUUUUUUUUUUAUCAAAUUUGUUCUUAAGUCAGACCAUCAUUUAUCUUAGUAGUCUGAUUUGCUUGUAUCACUUUUCCAUUUGAUGGUAAAUUGUAAUUGAAAUAAGAAGUUUUUUCGUUAGACUUAAUUUGGAAAGACUUAACGGUAAUUAAUGUCUAGCCGUCUGAUUGCGAGGAGGUAUCUGUAGUGAGGUGUGUGUAAAUUGUGUUUAGAGCCAUACUGUAAAUAUAUUUUUAUAGAUGUUGUAUCUAUUGAUGCGAGCACUUGUCAGCUAUCAACAUGCUUGAUGCAGACUACAUUAUCAA